rnacentral:sRNA from 1 species
UAAGUUUCACAAAUAUUGGGCUGACAUUAAAGAGAACAAGGCCAGGGUCAUUUUUAUCACAGAAUACAUGUCAUCUGGGAGUCUGAAGCAAUUUCUGAAGAAGACCAAAAAGAACCACAAGACCAUGAAUGAAAAGGCAUGGAAGCGUUGGUGCACACAAAUCCUCUCUGCCCUAAGGUAAGUAGUACCUGCUUAGUUUCUUACCCAUAUUUCCUGAUGUAGUUACUCCAAACAGAUUUCAGGGCACUACUCUUCUGUUCUAUUCUGCCUCUCCCCACUUUCUUUGAAUCAUAUACUGUCAAGAUUAGGCCCCCUACGGGUCUUUUAAAGGGUGCGUCCUAAUGCCCUAACCACGACACUUAUCUCCUACCUCUUUCUCCUAGUGCUUAUCCAGCUAUUUAAAUCAUCAGGCAUAAUGGAGAUUCAGAGUGUGGGGAUUAUCUUUAUGGUGACCAGCAGGAGACCUGGCCCUUGCUCCUCUUAACCCUUGGGUUCCCCCUGCCCUUAAUUUCCCAGUGGCCCCUCUAACAGCCCAGUGCCCCCACAGCUACCUGCACUCCUGUGACCCCCCAUCAUCCAUGGG